UAAAUUAUCAGCACUGCGUAAUUAUCUUCUAAUAUUGUGCUGUCUUCCAGUCRUUGUGCAGAGCAGUUUGUCUCUCUGAAUUUGGUCCAGCAGCUCGAAAGCAUUGAGGUGUUGCUGCUGCAGUACAAUGCCAAGUUACCUCCAGUUUCUUUUCAGGACAGUUGCAAAGCCUUUCUGUCCUAUGGAGACAGGAAGCUUGCAGUCUGAGCCCUGCUCACCCAAAUACUAUUCUAGAUACAAAAAUUAAACAUCAUUGCGCUGAUGACUGAGCUUGCCAAAGUGCAAAAUGACUCUUAGCACUCUCUUUUCCCCAGAGAAGCUGCCAUUGAGCAGCAGGUCUCAUUGUGCACAUGUGCAGGCUUUUGUAAUCAGCGAAGACUCAAUCCGAGAGUCACGUGGCCCCCAGAGAACCAUUCUCUUGAGUGAAGGACAGUCAAAAAGAUUUCUUAGAGGAGAGGGAAGAACACACAGAAGCACUCUCUUGGAGAAAGAUGCAAGUGCCCCAGCAAUGAAAGAGUUUACUGGUGCCGGUCAUACAUGAGCUUUGCCUUAUAGCUAUAUGCCAAAGCAGCAUUUAAGCAAAGGUGUGUACAUAUGCUUGGUAAGAUAACUUUAAUUUGUCUUUCUGGAUGUGGAAUUUCGUUUUGAAGGAAACCCAUUAUUUAAAUAUACAUAGUGGUACUCGCUCCUACAGAGCAAAGUAAAGAUAAAAAUAUCCUUUACACUCUUUGAAGUUAACUGAAAUUGAUGCUAUAAUGUGUGCGAGUGCCUUGGGCAGUAGGAUGUUACGUGGUAUUCUCGAGACUUUUUUACAAGGCUGCCUUUUGUCUUUGCUUCGGGUCAUCAGUUGAUUUCCAGCAGGGAACUAUGCCUCUGAAACUCCACAAUAGAGUAAUUUUUGUAUUCUAGAAUGGCAGAUCAACCUAGGCAGAUGGAAAACAAAUAACUUCUAUCGAAUGAAAAAAACACAUGGCUGUGCUUUUGCUCUUGAUGCAGCCUAGCUAGAUCAAGAACAUUCAAGCCAAUGUAUCCCAAGGGAGACAAGCUACAAAGUACUGUUGGUCCUUUUCUAAACUUUAGGUUUGGGAUAUUUAUAAAGACAACAAUAGUAUCUAGUGUUAGAGCAACAUAGUGGUGGCUCACCAAAAAAUGUAGAAAGGGGGUGGUGAUCUGGCUUGCAAAGCCCAUCCGCUCAGGUUUGCAUGCAGAUCUGCAUAUGCCAGUUCGAUGCAGGCACACAUCAGCACUGGUGCUGCGUUAACUUGGGUUGGUGACUCAGGUUUCCAAAACGAUACAGGACAAUUUAUGUCAGCCCUCUUCAAGAAUUCAUCAGUAUGAGCUAUUUUAGUACUUGUUUUGUGGAGGACUGUGGGAAAACCUGAUCAUCUUUCCAGAGCCCUCGUGUGGAAUUUCUUUCAGCUCAAUUUACACGCUCUUCUGACCUCAUUCUCCCCUUUCUCUUAUAUUCUCUCUGAUAACAUUGGCUCAGUGCUCAGCUAUGGUCCAAAAGGGCAAUGAGCAGAUUAGACAAUAUUAUAAAA
rnacentral:lncRNA from 1 species